rnacentral:rRNA from 1 species
UACGAAGGGGGCUAGCGUUGUUCGGAAUUACUGGGCGUAAAGCGCACGUAGGCGAAUAUUUAAGUCAGGGGUGAAAUCCCAGAGCUCAACUCUGGAACUGCCUUUGAUACUGGGUAUCUUGAGUAUGGAAGAGGUAAGUGGAAUUGCGAGUGUAGAGGUGAAAUUCGUAGAUAUUCGCAGGAACACCAGUGGCGAAGGCGGCUUACUGGUCCAUAACUGACGCUGAGGUGCGAAAGCGUGGGGAGCAAACAGGG